rnacentral:rRNA from 1 species
UACGUAGGGGGCUAGCGUUGUCCGGAAUCACUGGGCGUAAAGCGCACGUAGGCGGGUCGUUAAGUCAGGGGUGAAAUCCUGGAGCUCAACUCCAGAACUGCCCUUGAUACUGGCGAUCUCGAGUUCGGGAGAGGUGAGUGGAACUGCGAGUGUAGAGGUGAAAUUCGUAGAUAUUCGCAAGAACACCAGUGGCGAAGGCGGCUCACUGGCCCGAUACUGACGCUGAGGCACGAAAGCGUGGGGAGCAAACAGG